rnacentral:lncRNA from 1 species
GGGAUUUUGGCUAUAUUUCCACAUAUUUCUUGCAAGAGCUCUGGUGAAUGUUGAUACUAGUUGAUACAAGCACUAUAAAAUUCGCAUAUUUGUAAGCCAACAGGUGCCAUAGUGUAUAGUCUAUUAUUUCUACUAUAGUUAAGUAAUAUUACAUUUUUUUUGUAAGUAUUCGAUAAUUGUUAAUUUUGUGUUCAAUUUGAACCAGCCUGUUCGUGUAUACUCAAGCAUUUAAGCCAUCAAAUAUGAAUACCUGAGCUUUCAUGGCGUUCGGAUGGUUUGUGCUAUUAUAUUAUAGGUGCUCGUAUUUUUAAAUUCUCUUUAGGUCAGUUUCCUCCUUCUCAAUCAACACUACACCAGCACUACAAAAUCGCACAUACAUACAUGCAUAUAUAUCCGCACGGUACACUUUUUUGUUUGAUUUUUUU